UUAAUUAAAAUAUUACUAUACUUUAUUUAAUAUUUUGAGAAAUAUCUUUGAUUUUAGUAUAUUAAAGAAUAAAUUUUAUUUGUUAUAGUUUAUUAGUACUGUGAAGGAAUUGAUGAAAUAAAUUAAAAUUUAAUUUAAAAUAAGUAUACUUAAUUUGUAGUACCUUUUGUAUCAGGGUUGAUUAAAUAUCUUAAUUUAUAUUUAUAUCUCGAUUUUAAAAGAUCUAAUUUAUUAUUUUAUUUAAUGUGUCAUAAUUAUUAAUAAUAAGAAUUAGUAGGGAAAUCCUAUUCGGUUUUAAAGGUAUCUAGUUUUUUAAGAAAUAAAUUUAAUUUAAUCUUAUUAUUUAUUUAUUAUAUUUUCUUAUAAAUAUAUAUUAAGGGAAAAAUUAUAGGGGAUAAGCUCUAUAUUUUACUAUAAUUCUUUUAUCAAUAAGUUUUUGUAGGUUUAAAAAUAUCCAUCAUUAAUAAGUUUGUUAUAAUUUAUAUUUAAUAUUAAUUGAUUUUAGUUUUUUUAGUAAUUUAUUAAAAUACUUUAAUAAAUUUUAUAUUGGAGGAAAUAAUGAUUAAAUUAGUAUAAUAAUCUGUAUAUAAUUUUUAAAAAUUAAUAAUAAAAUAAGGAACUCGGCAAAUAUAAUUCUCGCCUGUUUAACAAAAACAUGUCCUUUUGAAUUUUAUAGAAGGUCUGACCUGCCCAGUGAUAAUUUUAACGGCCGCGGUAUACUGACCGUGCAAAGGUAGCAUAAUCAUUAGUCUUUUAAUAGAGGGCUGGAAUGAAAGGUUUAACGAGGAAUUGACUGUCUCAUUUUAUUUGUUUUAGAAUUUAAUUUUUUAGUCAAAAAGCUAAAAUCUUAUUGGAAGACGAGAAGACCCUAUAGAUCUUUAUAAAACUUUAUUUAAUUAUUUUUAUAUUAUUUUAUUUAAAUGAUUUUUUAUUUUGUUGGGGUGACAAAAAUAUAUGUAAAACUUUUUUAUUUAUUUAACAUUAAUUUAUGAUUAUUAGAUCCAUUAUUAGUGAUUGAUAGACUAAGUUACCUUAGGGAUAACAGCGUAAUCCUCCUCCAGAGUUCAUAUUUACAGGAUGGGCUUGCGACCUCGAUGUUGGAUUAAGAUGAUAGUUAGGUGUAGCCGCUUAAUUUAUAGGUCUGUUCGACCUUUAAACUCUUACAUGAUCUGAGUUCAGACCGGUUUAAGCCAGGUCGGUUUCUAUCUCCAAUUUUAUUUAGUUCUUAGUACGAAAGGACCAGAAUUAAGAAAUAAUUUUUUGUUAAUGAUUAAUAUUA
rnacentral:rRNA from 1 species